rnacentral:lncRNA from 1 species
AAUAAAAAAAAUAAAAUAUUUAAGAUGAAUAUUACACAUUUUUUAGGUCAGUAGAGAGGCGCGAAAACGCGGUGGAGACUUUGACCGAAUGAAUAGGGAUCAAUUGAUAGACAUUUUCUUGAGGAAGGCCCUUUUUUUGAAUUGAAGAAGCCGAAGGGGUGAACGAACGCUGUGGCAACGAGCCGUAAGAAAGAUGAGCAGAGCAUUCCUUCCGGCGGCCUUUAUAGGAGAGUAGGGGAGCAAAGGAUUAAAAAAAUCAAUAAUAUUUUAUCAUUUAAUUAAAUGGUGCUCACAGCCUCACACACCUAGUUUUUUAAUAAUAUUUUAUCAAUUAAUUAAGUGA